UAGGGAAUCUUCGGCAAUGGGGGCAACCCUGACCGAGCAACGCCGCGUGAGUGAAGAAGGUUUUCGGAUCGUAAAGCUCUGUUGUCAGCCAAGAACGUCUAUAGGAGUGGAAAAUCUAUAGAGUGACGGCAACUGACCAGAAAGGGACGGCUAACUACGUG
rnacentral:rRNA from 1 species